CACAGGCUGGAGAGAGAGAGGAAGGUAGGGACAUCGGUUGAGAGCCUCUUACCAUGCCACGCCUCCUCCAAGGGCCUGGGUUCUUCAAGAAGGAGCACAGAAACUCCCCUGCCCCAGCGACACACACUCUAGAGGCAUAGUCUUCAGCAGGCCCCUGUCUCUCCACACUCAUCAUAGUUCCACCUUAAGUAUCAACACCACAAACAAUAUGAGGUCUGCUUUGUGCCAGCCACUGGGCCAGGAGGAACCGGGAAAUACUGUUUCUAUCCUCAGGAAGACUACAUUUUGGCUAGGCCGAUCAAGGAUGGAUAUUUGGGGAAAAAAUACAUAACCACCGGCUGAGGGCUUAUGCUAGGUCUCAGUUUCUCCAUCUGUAAAAUAAAGGGUGGAUGAGCUCCACUCUAAAACUAUGGUAGGUACUAGAGGAAUUCAAGGAAGAGAGAGUCUUUCUCUUGGGUCCUCCCUCAUUACCAAGCCCAUGGGACCCCAGGGGCAUCCUCUACUCACCAGGAUUUGGGAAAAUGAUCCUGUCUGGGUGGGCCACAGCGUCUCCUAGAGGAAGAGCGAAAAAGGGCAAGAGUCACGCUUCGGAGUUUUCUUCACCUGAGCGAGUCAAGUAGGAAAGGGAGCCAUCUGCGGCUUCCGGGUAGUUUACAGGAAGGGGUGGUGGAGCAGAGGAAGGCAGCGGUGUGUGACCUCGGAGGAAGGUCCGGCAGCACGGCCUAUGGAGUGGGAGGAGGAGAAGGAUGGCCGGCAGCAUCGUGAGCCGUCCGCAGGUGCAAGAAGAGUCCCGGAGCUUCGGUGGUCUACCCAGUGGGGAGGCGGCGCCGCUCCGGGCGUCCUGCCCUCCCAGUGUCGCCUCCCCGAGGGGCCUCCAUGGCCCGGGCUCCUCGACCGGUGCUCUGGAGGCCAGGGCUGGGGGCGGGUGGGGGGCGGAGGCGGCCCGAGCGCAGGGGCGGUGCCUCUCGCCAACUUCGGAGUUGUUUUCCCCGGCCGCCGCCUCGCUCUCUCCCGAUGCCGGCCCCCGAAGCCCCGGAAAUCGGCUGAAAGACCGGCGCUGCGGCGCGCCCUCGCCUAGAGCCGGCCCGCAGGCCGCGAGCGCCCCGGUACAGGCCUGGCCGCCACCUGCUGGGGCUUGAGGCCACUUCCUCUUUGGGCCAAACUUUACCGACUGUCAGCCCCCAGGGCCGGCCCGGGCGCUGCUCAACUUCUCCAGCGCGUCCAGCCCGCGGAACGCGGCAGGGGAGCGGGGGAGGCGGACAGGCGGCCCGGCACAACGCCCAGUCCCUCGCGCAGACUGUACCCCAGCCAGCCCAGGGGUUGGAGGAGCCCGGGCGGAGGAGGGGGCGGGUGACGAGCCUGGCCCCACCCCUGCCAAUCAACGCGCUCUCCGCCCACCCGACCGUCUUAACGCCUUUCCGGUCGUGCAGGGUCUUGUCACUUGGGCUUUGAAGGCGCUCAGCUUCUACUUUUAACUCUGCUUUGUUUAGUCCUUUCCGUGUAACGUUAGUUACAGGACACGUCUGUCAAAGGGCAACUGCUUAUUCCGUAACUGUCAUGUCUUUCCUUUGAAUCCUUAAGCUCUCAGUACUUUUCUUGUCCCAGUGUCUGGGAUGCGGUAGCACUUUUCUUGAUGAGCCUCUAUUAUAGCAAUUACCACACGGUGUUGUAACUAUUUGUUUACUCCUUCCCGCCCCUGCCCCUCCCCUGCUGUGGAAACUGAAACUUCCUGUAGGCUGGGGCCUGGACUGUUUACCUUUGUACCCACAAGGCUUUUCUCCUGCUGAGACACUGUAAUUCAAUAAAGGAAUAAAUGUGCCUUCCCUUCUUGCUGGC